rnacentral:rRNA from 1 species
AAUGAACGCUGGCGGCGUGCUUAACACAUGCAAGUCGAACGAGAAAGUCUUAGCUUGCUAAGGCGAGUAUAGUGGCGCACGGGUGAGUAACGCGUGGGUAACCUACCCCUUGAAUCGGGAAUAACCCAUCGAAAGGUGAGCUAAUACCGGAUAAUAUUUGUACUGCUUAGGCGGUAUGAAUCAAAGAUAGCCUCUGUUUCAAGCUAUCGUUUGGGGAUGGGCUCGCGUACCAUUAGCUUGUUGGUAGGGUAACGGCCUACCAAGGCGACGAUGGUAGCUGGUCUGAGAGGAUGAUCAGUCACACUGGAACUGAGACACGGUCCAG